UCUGUGUCUCAUCACCUCCCCUCACCUGAGUGUAUUUAGUCUCUUUGUCAGUUUGUCUUGGUCUCCUUGUCAAGUGUCCUGGCCUCUGUUUCCUGUGCUUUUGGGUUAUGUCUUGGUUUUGCUUGGACUUUGCCUGAAUUUUCUGGACUCUGAUUAUUUGUUUGCUCCUUUGUCCUUGUUUGACUUCAUGGACUGCUUCCCCUGGUUUUGUUGAUCACUGCCUGCCUGAAAUCAGUGACAGUGAAUCUGCAAAAGGCUGAGUUGGGGAUUGUACAGACAAUGAUGGGCAUCUACGUCAUUCGGGUGGAGGGGACCAGUCCUGGAGACGAGCCUGCAGAUGUUGAUGUUGUACUUGAAGAUGUGGAAGUUCUGCAAGACCUACAAAGUGCCACCCUUGGAUGUGUGAUGCUUUUUGGACUGAUUUAUGUGCUGAACUUAAGCUACCCUAAGGACCUCAAUUAUCAACUUGUGCUUUUCCUUGAUUUAGUUUUGCUGCAGAAUAUUCCUUUAAUAUUUGUGCACUCGUAAUUCAACAUGCAUGGAAAAGUGUGGUGGUGCAAAGCCACUCAACCACUGAUGCAGAUGUUGGUGUAGCUGUGGAAAUUCUACUAAAAUACAAAGUGUCA